rnacentral:rRNA from 1 species
AUGAAGGCCCCUCCGAGAUUGUGUGCGGAUCGGAUGGAUUGUUGGGAGGUGUUGGUCAAUGCGUGGUGCUCAAAAGAAUGUCUGGCCACCCACAAAGAGGCCAAGGACAAACGUGCCCAAAUGGAAGGUGUGCCACACCACCAAGGCAGCUCCAACUUAUUUCAGUACGGGCGGAACUGGGCACGCUAUAAUAAGGCGGAUAAGGUGCCAGAGGUGUACGACCUGUAUGCCAUGGCCCACACUGGCCCUUACAAGAAAGUCAAGGCAUUCUCUGCGUCUGACCUCGAUGAUCCAAAGAACUUCACCAACAUCUCCGCCCACGACAAGCUCGUGCAAUAUAGAGAUCAUGGGAAGGCGAGGAAAGGGGAGGACUUUAACCCGAGCCAGGGUCCCAUUGAUAUAGAGCUGCUGAUGAUAUCUGGUGGCGGGAGGUCCCAUGGCUCCAUAGCCAUGGGAGAUGGACUUAUCCGUUGUCCUAGCACUCUCCCGGAGAUCAAGGCGCGCCAGUCGAGCUCCGCUCCUGAGAUAAGGCCUCGUGAACGGCCAGUCCAACUCGCCUUCAAGGCUGCUAUACAGAGUGAGAGAGGUAGAACGGAGAAACUUGGCGGAGGCGGCGGAGAGGCAGCGGGAGUUGGAGGAGAGGACGACAAAGAUGUUGGAGGAGGAGAGGGCAUGGAAUGA